AUUGAACGCUGGCGGCAGGCCUAACACAUGCAAGUCGAGCGGAUGAAGGGAGCUUGCUCCUGGAUUCAGCGGCGGACGGGUGAGUAAUGCCUAGGAAUCUGCCUGGUAGUGGGGGAUAACGUCCGGAAACGGGCGCUAAUACCGCAUACGUCCUGAGGGAGAAAGUGGGGGAUCUUCGGACCUCACGCUAUCAGAUGAGCCUAGGUCGGAUUAGCUAGUUGGUGGGGUAAAGGCCUACCAAGGCGACGAUCCGUAACUGGUCUGAGAGGAUGAUCAGUCACACUGGAACUUAGACACGGUCCAGACUCCUACGGGAGGCAGCAGUGGGGAAUAUUGGACAAUGGGCGAAAGCCUGAUCCAGCCAUGCCGCGUGUGUGAAGAAGGUCUUCGGACUGUAAAGCACUUUAAGUUGGGAGGAAGGGCAGUAAGUUAAUACCUUGCUGUUUUGACGUUACCAACAGAAUAAGCACCGGCUAACUUCGUG
rnacentral:rRNA from 1 species